AAGUGUCUGUUCAGCUCCUCUGCCCAUUUUUUAAUGGGCUUAAUUGCUUUUUUUGUUUUUUGAGGUGCGUGAGCUCUUUACAUAAUUUGGAUGUCAACCCCUUAUUGGAUAUGUCAUUUAUGAAUAUAUUCUCCCAUACUGUAGGAUGUCUUUUUGUUCUACUAAUGGCGUCCUUUGCUAUACAGAAGCUUUUUAGUUUGAUUUAGUCCCAUUUGUUCAUUUUUGCUUUUGUUUCCCUGCCCAGGGAGAUAUGUUCAUGAAGAAGUUGCUCGUGUUUAUGUCCAAGAGAUUUUUGCCCAUAUUUUUUUCUAAGAGUUUUAUGGUUUCAUGACUUGCAUUUAGGUCUUUGAUCCAUUUUGAGUUUACUUUUGUGUAUGGGGUUAGACCCAGUUUUAUUCUCUUACAUGUAGCUGUUCAGUUUUGCCAACACCAGCUGUUGAAGAGACUGUCAUUUCCCCAUUGUAUAUCCGUGGCCUCUUUCAAAGAAGAAAGGAUCAGAUCCAAUAAUCAGAAGAAAUGGUUGCUGAAGUUAUUCUUCCCUGAAAAUAGCAAAGGAACUUACUUCUUCAUUCCUUCUUACUUAACAAUGGCAGUUGUAUGAUAGGUAAAUUUGUGGAUUGGUUUUUUUCUUUCAGCUAACUCUCCAGGCUAUGCAAAUUUAAAGUUUUAAAAGUAUAUUGUAAAGCAAAAUUUGGGCUAGGUCAGUAUGGAGAGAGUUUUGGAUUUGAGAAAUCAUUCAAUAUGUAAUUAUAAAAUUCACUUUUAAAAUCAUACUUUGGUAGAGAGUCAUAAAAAUAGAAAAUUAAAUGGUAUCCUUCUAAGGAGAAGAAAUUUGUAAAUGUGUUUUACACAACCUUAGCAAAUCAUUUUACCUAAUGUUUCAGUGAGGGUGUUAGUCAGAAUUCUUUAACCUACAGGUCACGCCAUCAUUCAUUUCUAUUAUCAACCUGAGUGCCACAGAUAGGUAACCCUGGAGGCAGAUAUUUAAAUUUUACUUUAAUAUUGGAAGUAAUCAGAAAUUUUAAGUUUUAAGUGAAUUUCUGCCUAAUCCUCUGAAAUGUUUAUUGUAAAUUUUGAAAACAAUGCCAUAAUAAUGGACUCAUAAUUCUUAUAUCUAUUACUGAUAGCAUAAAUUUUCUAUUUUUUAAAAAGUCACUUUUUUACAUUAUCACUAUAUGAAUUAAAAUAAAAUAUUUACUUAAUCAAAAUCUAAGACUCAAAAUAUUUUAAACACUCAUUUUUUAUUGUUAUUUUUGAGACAACUUUCUAAUUUAAUGCCAAAGUAGACAGUUGCUCUUAUCUUCAUAAUCAACACAGCGCACAACAAGGUACUUUGAUAUAAACUAAUUUCUUAGACUCAACACUGAAAAACCACUUGCUUGUCUCUUAUUCAUUCAUGGGAUUGAUCUUGCUUCCUUAGCAUGGCAGAAUGAUCUCAAGAAAUACUAACUCCAACCUUUGUCCAGAUAGGAUUACAGAAAUAGCAUCAGGUAGAUGGAACCAAAAAGUACGCGUGUGUUUACUGACUACUAAGGGAACACCAAAAAUCUAAGACCUGUUACUCAAAUAUUCCAGUGUGUAUAUGGUAAAGCAGUGGCUGUCAGCGAGGGAUGAUUUUUCCCCCGCGGGACAUUUGGCAAUAUCUGCAGACAUUUUCGGUUUUCAGAAAUGUGGAGAUGAUCCUUCUGGCACAAGAGGCCAAUAAAUGGCUACAUAGUCUGAGAUGCACUAGGUAGUCCCUGUACAUUAACAAAAGAAAAAGAAUUUUCCAGGCCAGCAUGUCAGUAGUGCUGCUGUUGGGAAACCCUGCAGCUGAGUAAGAGUGGACUUGGUCAUAUUAGCCUCUUAAGAACAUCUCAGAAGGUUGACAAUUUGCAUGAAUUUCACUUUAUAAAAUACCUGGAGACAUGUGGAUGAGUAAAUGAGUGUAUCUAAAACACCACCAGCGGGUGGACUUGGUAAUUGUAACAUUCUUAGGGAGAUUUAUCUGUUGGCCAGGGUAACUUCUUAUUUUUCUUUUUAUAUAAUCAUUUCUUAACAGCAUUCCUUUGUUUCAUAAUGUGAAGAUAAUGUAGCAGUUCAGACACAGUCUUCCUAGGAGGGAUCAUGUUUUGGAGAGACCACACAUGUAUAGUACAGCAUGUUACUAAGAACAUGUGUUUGGGGCACAGAUAAACCUGCAUUUGAAUCCCAGCUUCUCUACUUACCAUGUGUGUGACCUGUGAGGCCCAUUUCCCCAAGUGAAAUCUGAGGAUUGCUGUAACAGUGAAGUGAGCUACUUUGAAUUAAGCACUGGAUGCUUGGACAGAGGCUUUUAGGGGAAAUCUUCCCAGAAUUUAAUUCUUUUUUGACUAUUUUGGUGUGCAGGAAGAGUUCGGUGGAGCAAGAGAUUGUGAAACAUCACAUUUAAGAGCUUGCAAAUGCACAGUUCUGAAUAGUGACAUUUCAAAUAGAACAGUGCAAGGUUUAAUCUUGGAGGACCUACAUUUUCCUGUAAUCAUGGACAGGCAACCAGGAGAGAUUCUGCACAGCCUGUUCUGGUCCAGAGAGCCUCACUGUAGCUGGAAUCAAGCUCAAGUCAGUUUGUGGAUCACCACAUCAAAAGAAAUUGGAAACUGGAGUUUUGGUAAAUGCCACAUUUAAAUUACAUAACUUAGUAGUUCCCACACUGAUUUAUGGCACUAACCGUUUGUUUAAAGGUUGAUGAUGGUAAGGCUGGUUCUCAAAGAAAUCAACCUGAAGCCUACUUAAUCUAGUGCAGAGAAAUUUUAAGUGAGCCCUAGGGAAGAGCCAGUGUU